CCUACGGGACGCAGCAGUGAGGAAUAUUGGUCAAUGGGCGGAAGCCUGAACCAGCCAAGUCGCGUGAGGGAAUAAGGCCCUACGGGUCGUAAACCUCUUUUGCCGGGGAGCAAAGGCGGGGACGUGUCCCCGGAUGAGUGUACCUGAAGAAAAAGCAUCGGCUAACUCCGUGCCAGCAGCCGCGGUAAUACGGAGGAUGCGAGCGUUAUCCGGAUUUAUUGGGUUUAAAGGGUGCGCAGGCGGUCUGUUAAGUCAGCGGUCAAAGCCCGGGGCUCAACCCCGGCCCGCCGUUGAAACUGGCAGUC
rnacentral:rRNA from 1 species